GACGAACGCUGGCGGCGUGCUUAACACAUGCAAGUCGAACGGAAAGGCCCUGCUUUUGUGGGGUGCUCGAGUGGCGAACGGAUGAGUAACACGUGAGUAACCUGCCCUUGACUUUGGGAUAACUUCAGGAAACUGGGGCUAAUACCGGAUAGGAGCUCCUGCUGCAUGGUGGGGGUUGGAAAGUUUCGGCGGUUGGGGAUGGACUCGCGGCUUAUCAGCUUGUUGGUGGGGUAGUGGCUUACCAAGGCUUUGACGGGUAGCCGGCCUGAGAGGGUGACCGGCCACAUUGGGACUGAGAUACGGCCCAGACUCCUACGGGAGGCAGCAGUGGGGAAUAUUGCACAAUGGGCGGAAGCCUGAUGCAGCAACGCCGCGUGCGGGAUGACGGCCUUCGGGUUGUAAACCGCUUUCGCCUGUGACGAAGCGUGAGUGACGGUAAUGGGGAAAGAAGCACCGGCUAACUACGU
rnacentral:rRNA from 1 species